rnacentral:rRNA from 1 species
CAGGAUUCUCUUAGUAACUGCGAGUGAACAGAGAUUAGCCCAACAUCGAAGCCACCAUGCAUUUGUAUGGGAGGCAAUGUGAUGUUUUGGUGUUUGAACGCACUGUCUGGCUAACUUGAAGUCCAUAUUUGACUGUGGCUUGUAUUUAUACACCCAGAGAUGGUGAUAGGCCCGUUCAGGUUGGUAUUCUGGCAUGACAGUUCAGUGUGUAAUCAUUCAUCAUAGAGUCGGAUUGCUUGAGAGUGCAGUCCAAAAUGGGUGGUAAACUCCAUCUAAGGCUAAAUACCUGUACGAGUCCGAUAGUCAACAAGUACCGUGAGGGAAAGUUGAAAAGUACUCUGAAGAGAGAGUAAAUAGUACGUGAAACCACAUGGAGGUUAAACAAAUAGAGUCAAGCUGCUUGCAUCAUAUCAUUGCAAUAUGCGCAUUUUGUUGCAUGACAUUUGCCGGGACCUGGCGUGUGAUUCUGUCUACUUGUAGGCAUUUGAACAUGUGUUUGUUGUUGAAAGGUCUCGGUGAGUGUCUGCGCUUAUUGUUCAUGAUGGGUGCUAAUGCCAUAGUCGGUUGUACUACCAGUGCGCAGUAAUCGGCGAUUGUGCGGGCUGACUUAUUGUCGUUCGUGCAAUCAGUGAAACAGUUGGCAACAGUGUGUGCUUGCAUUCGCUUUUGUCAAAGAAGGCCACGGCCUGUUGAUUACUGUGAACAUUGUGAGAGUCGACCGUUCAUAUGUGCUCAUAUAAUUUGUGGUAGUAAGUCGACUUGUCGACUACUUCCAUAAAUGAGCUUAUGAGCUAUGGUAUUGUGGUAGACUUUCUAUUUG